AAAUUCCAAGCAUAUGCAUCUGUCCAGCGCCAACAGCUUGGCCGCAAAGUGUCUCUAGUGCACUUCCCAUUCCUAGCUACAUGGGAGUGACAACAAAUUGACGAACGUUCAGAUAAAGAGAAGGAUCUUGCAGUUGAGAGGAGAAGUGAAUUGCGCCAGUUUAAUCAGGAGGAAAUGACAAAAACAUUCAGUUACACAGGUUCAUGACCAACUUGGAAGAAACACAAUUGCAGUUUGGAGUCUUGACUGUCCAUAUGAAUGCUAAGGAAAUUGUUAUUUCUGCUUUAUUACACUAAUACUUGCACUUUUGUUCGCAUGCAAAUGCACCUUUUCUUUUACAUGAGAUUGAAACAGAAAGACUCAAAUGAGACUCGACAAUUGUUUGUCUAUGAACUAUUUCCAUAUGAAUUCUGACUGAAACCAUUCACUU